rnacentral:rRNA from 1 species
AAUCCAGACUCCUACGGGAGGCAGCAGUGGGGAAUAUUGCACAAUGGGGGAAACCCUGAUGCAGCGACGCCGCGUGAGUGAAGAAGUAAUUCGUUAUGUAAAGCUCUAUCAGCAGGGAAGAAAAUGACGGUACCUGAGUAAGAAGCCCCGGCUAACUACGUGCCAGCAGCCGCGGUAAUACGUAGGGGGCAAGCGUUAUCCGGAUUUACUGGGUGUAAAGGGAGCGUAGACGGCAGUGCAAGUCUGGAGUGAAAGGCGGGGGCUCAACCCCCGGACUGCUCUGGAAACUGCGUCGCUGGAGUACGGGAGGGGCAGGCGGAAUUCCUGGUGUAGCGGUGAAAUGCGUAGAUAUCAGGAGGAACACCGGCGGCGAAGGCGGCCUGCUGGACCGUGACUGACGUUGAGGCUCGAGAGCGUGGGGAGCAAACAGGAUUAGAUACCCUAGUA